rnacentral:lncRNA from 1 species
CGCCUGCGGGGUCAGCGGGCGGUGGCGCGGUUCGGAUCCGCUUCCGAGCAUCCCCGCGUUCUCCGAGCGAGGGCUGGUCCGUGCCAGACCCGGAGGCCGGGCGGGCGGGACACAACCCCGUCGACGGUAGCGCGGUUUUGGCCGCCUGUCGAAGUGGCGUUUUCCUCUUUCCGCGGCUCCUGGGAACUUAAGUCGCACACGAGGCCCACGCCCGGUGUCUGUGGGGCUGCCCGCGUGGCCUCGGCCGCCGCCCCUUUGGUGCGCUCAGCAGCAAGGGGCAGCUCCCUGCGGAGAUGCGCCCGGCCGAGCCCCGUCCCGAUGGUCGGGAGGGUGAAGUACAGGAGGGUGUUCUUGUACUUCUGAGGCUUGGUGCGUGUGGGGACGUUUGUUGGAGGAACUGGGAAUGGAACCCGGGGCCUCGCACAUGCCAGGCAAAUGCUCUACCACUGAGCUACACCCGCAGCCUUUUUGAGACGGGAUUUGGCUAAAUUGUCCAGGUUGAACUCGAACUUGUGGUCCUCCUGCCUCGGCCCUCCACUUAGCUGGAAGUACAGGCGUGGGCACCUUGCCCAGAGACUUGUUCUUUUUUGUUUGUUUGUUUUAAUAUUUAUUUUUUAGUUUUUGGCGGACACAACAUCUUUGUAUGUGGCGCUGAGGAUCGAACACGGGCUGCACGCAUGCCAGGAGAGUGUGCUACCGCUUGAGCCACAUCCCCAGCCCCCAGAGACUUGUUCUUGAGAGUGUGCAUCUCACCUUUCCUGCGUGGCACUCCACUUGGAGUGUGAGUUCCUUGCCUUCAAGACCCAGUGCUACCUUCAUGUAGCUCAUACCUGAAACUGCUGCGACUCUGGAAGCCGAAAGCCAUAUUGCAAGAUGGAGACCAGCAUGGGUCUUUCCCAGGUUCCCAGGUGUGACAUUUCAGGCCUGGCGGACUAUGAACCAGUGUCGCGCCCCAGUUCAAUAGGAUUGACCAGGUGCUUUUCCACUGAAUUGCAGCUCUUCAUAAUGCCACUGUGGGGUGAUGACUGCUUCAGAUCCGAUGAACUGGUCUAUUUUUGUGCUUGCCUUGACUUGUUUUACAAACCAAGAUUUGGGGCCCAAGACAAAAGACUUGAGUUUAGAUUUUCUAACUGUGGAGGAGCUCGAGCAAAGUCUUGGCUGUUGGCCAUGUGCCUGUACAACUUGGCACUCAGGGUCUGAGUUCACAUGUCUAACAAGCUUGGAAAACCCCAGAGCAAAAAGAUCAAGCCUCUUGGCCUGAUGUGAGCCUCAGAAGUCCUUGCCCAAUAAACAACUGCUGGCAAUGAGAUGGAACGUUUUA